GUAUAAGGUUUAUAGGGCACAGAAGCCCAUAAGUAUUACAUUCCAUGACAUACAUUGAGGUUAUAUGAAAGAACAUAGGCCUGAAAAUGUAAGGAGAGGCAAAAAGUCAAUCCUCGUACCUAAAUGCUAGCACAUUCAGAAAGUUAUCCAGGUCUACAAUAGGUGCACAGGUGGAGAUAUAAAGAUGACAGGCGUGCACAUGCUCCCUAGAGAACCAGCAACAACUCAUCAGAUUUAUUCAAUAAUGAUCCUUCCGCAGGUUCACCUACGGAAA
rnacentral:misc_RNA from 1 species